UUUAAGAAGCACCCAAGUCUGGAUAUACACAGAAUGAGAACAGAAUUCUAGAACUCAAGGGAUGAGAACCAGGGAGACACAGACUUCUCAGAGUCUCGGAAGCACUGCUGACCAUCACCUUAUCAGAGCGGCAAGGCUGAGUUCCCGAAUGCUUGACUCUCUUUGUCCCCAUCCCAUCCCCAUGCCCUAUAAAGCUUGCUGUCCAGAGAGGAGAUCAAAGUAUGUGACCAAGACUGAGAAGCGCUGCAGGAGGAGAAGUUAAAAAUAAUGAGAAAUAAUUGGAUCCCAAGGUUCAUCAAACGAAGAUGUGGCCAUGGACCUUGGCAUUUGAAACUGUCACCAUGGAGACAAGCAAGCCUCAAAGAAUUUGGAAAGAAGCUCUGUUCCAGAACUUCCUCUUUCUAAUUUUUCUCAUGUCUACAGAAGGGGAAUCUUAAAAUGAGUUACCAGCAGGAUGGAAAUUCAGGACAACAGAAACAGCUGGAUGUGUGAGAACGUCGGUCAUGAUCACACGGUAGAGGAAUCACACGGUGGAGGAAGCUGGGAUCAGGUGCAAGGCAACCUGCCUUCAUUCUUUCACUCGUAGAGGUUUCAGCUCAUUAAAAACUGCUGCGGAGAACACACAUUCUUGCUUAAAACACUCAUGGGAAAAAUUUAAAUAUAAUACUUUCCUUUAUCUUUUGAGAAUGUUAUACAAGUAUACAAUGUAUUUUGGUUAUAUUCACUCCUACAUCCCAACAACAAUAACAAUUCCUGGACUCCCUUAUCCUCACAUCCCUAGAUAUGUCUUCUAAUUAUAUCUUACU
rnacentral:sRNA from 1 species